UUUCAGGUUCUCCCAAUUCUUUAGUUUCAAGUAUUCCUCAGAAAAAACUUGUAUGUGAUGAAGAAGACUUUAAUGACUUUCGACCUCGUUUUGGUUCAGGGUUCUCAGACCGUGACACAAACCUGGACAACAUUUCUAUAUCAUCAAGA